AUCAAGAAGUAGUUGCAAGCAACUUAAAUUAAUUAUUUUAAAAUACUACAUUCUGUUCAUAGUUGCUCAAGGCAAUUUUAGCAAUUUUAUUUAGCCUGCAAUAGACAUAGGAGAGCUCUGUGGCCUUAAAAGCCAUAAUUACCUAAAUCCUGGAUUUGCAAGGACAAAACAAAUCAUUUGCCAGUUUUGCUUUAUUUUGCUUUUCUUAACUUUAAGACUGCUUUGGACUUAACCAUGGGAGGCUGGGGUGUUCUCCUGGCCAUUUAACAGUUUCCUGCAGACAACAUAAGAAGAGGCACCUGCAUGGAAACUGCUUUCAGGCACCACCUGUGCCUUUGCUAAGGUCAUUAGACAAAGCCUGCCUUUCACUCUUACAGAGUCCAACCUGUGUAACCUUUGCAAUUUGUCACUGGAACACUUCCACUGAAUGAUGUGAGGAUAACAUGGAGAGUGGGAUAAGUGUGCUGCUCUGCUUCUUUGGAAGAAAAGCAAGAUCCAUACACUGAAAAAUAGUUGGGGAAAUUGAAGAGAAGAUAUCAGAGGCAGUACCCCUUCUCAGAACAGCUUCGAUCCAAAUAAUGGUGGAUGUAGCUGCCGCUGUGACAACAGUGAACACCGAUGGAAAUGCCAGAGCCUUACAUGGAGCCAUUUCUUUACGCUCUUCCUGAAGCCCAGAAGAGUCGGGCCUGCCGGAUGUUACUGGGGAGGGCGUUCCACAGCUGAGGAGCCAACAGAAGCACGAAAGGAAUACGCCAAACAGAAGGAGAAGGAGAGAGGCUACAAGUAGGAGGAGGAGGGAGGAGAGGCCAAAGGGGCAAACUCUCAUCUCCCAUCCGGACCAGGAUGAGAACAGCAAUAGGAAAGUGAAGGUAGGUGCCAAUCCCCUGCAGCGUAUGAAUAGCAGUACUAGCUCCAAUUCAGAACAUGCUCUACUCUUACAUGACCUCAAAGCUCUGGAGCAUUCUUUGACUUUAGCUAACAUGGAGCAGAAUUGUGUUGAGCAUCCUUAUCCUACGUUGGGGAUUAGAAAGACUCAUGUGUCAUGUGGACACCAUGGGGCCAAUUCUCACCCAUCCCGCUUUAUUGUGCCCAUGUAGAUAUUCCCUUAGUAUAUGAAAUCUUAUGCUACCAACUUCUUUCUUUCAGGGCCCUUCUACACUUACCUAAAACCUGGGAGGAAGCAGGCUAAAAUAACCCUCUUACUUUUGGGUUUCAGUCCUCAUCCCCUCCCAUAACUCUGGGCUUUCCCUGACGGGGGGAGGGGGGCUGACUAGAUGCUAUCCCAGGUCAAGCAAAGUUUUCCAUCCCAAUAAAAACAAACCCAUUAAAACAAAGCCUAAACUUUCUCAAUUUUGAUAUGCACCUCCGAGUAUGUGAGCUGUCUGCUGGGAAAAGAGGAGGCAAGGAGCCAGAAAUCCUGACAUGAUAAUAUGUUACAUUGGAUUACAAUCCAUUUUUCAGAAAAAGAAGCUGCUGUCCAAUAUCUCUUUCUUCUUUCUUUUGUAUCCCAUCAUUGGGGAGGGGGUGUCUUUUGUUUUAUGAAAAAAUAAAUCAAUUAAACAGUAGUUUUCUCUAGCAGUUACACUUUUUUUGAUAAAUGUACAUAUGAUGUGCUAUGCUUUUGUUUUUGUAAUUAUGGUAAGAAUUUUUUGUGGCUGGCAAAAGUACUUUUAAAAAGUUUUCUCCAAAUAUGUAAAUAAUAAGAUUUAGGGUCCACUCACCAUAUCAAUCCAACAAUAUAGGUUAAUUUUAGAUAAACAGAUGCUGUACUUAUUUUUUCUUACUCUAAAUGAGGUCAGAUUUCUACUACCAAUUUAACAAUUAAUUAUGUAAUUUGCUGCCCUUGUUACUUUUAAUUCUGCCUAAUUGUCUGUUCACUUUAGAAAGAGCAAUAAUGAGUAAUGAUAGUAAAGAGUGGGGAUAAAGAACAAUAAACAGCAAAUUAAAUCUCCUCUUUGUGCAGAAAAACGAGUGAAUUUAUAUUCUUCAGUGUUGAUUUUGUGUGCUUAAUUCUAUGCUGCACUAAAGGCUUUUAUGGCACAGCAGACCAGAGAUUUCAAGCUCCAAUUGAUAACAUAAUCCAUUUUAGCCACUACUGUCUUAUUAGAAUGCAAAGAAUUUCUCUAGCUUUUCAAAUCUACACACCAUCCUCAUACUUUGCCACAUGAUUAUACUGUACUUUGAGUUCAUAUAAGCUAUAUCUUAACAUUUAUUAUACCACCAAACAGAGUUGUAUCCCUCACUCUGGUG